UGGCAUUGCUGUAAACAAAGGGAUGGGUAAAGAUGCUCCUCAAGUUGCUGAUAAUCUGGGUGGGGACUUCUACAAAGUAAUACUGCAAGAAGAACCUUUCAAGUCAACAACGGUAUGUAUAAUGAUGGCAGAGGGUGUUUUUGGAGUUAACUACUAGUUUUACUCUUUUAUGAUGAUGUUAACUUUUUGUAUAUUGAAAUCUCUGUAUAAACUGUAUUCUUCCUUGGUUGGGAAGAAAUUUUUUAAGCUAUGCUGGCUGGUUGGAUAUUUAUUUGUUUGGCUCAUUGAAACACAAUUCUCAUAAUUUGCUAGAGAACCGUGAACUGGUUCUUGCAUACCAAAUCGUGGUUCUUUUGCGAAUUGGUUCCUUAUUAGAAUUGGUUCCCUAUAAGGAACGAACCAGAAUUUCACAUACAAUUUAAGUUAAAGAAAGAAGAGUAAUUGGUGGUAUAUACUCACCUACAUGAAUGAUUUACAACAAACAAGAAAGAAUCUUAUCAUGAGGUGUUUCUCCUAUGGUGAAACAAGAGUUGAUUCAAACCUAGAAGAAACACUAGUAUAAACGACUGCACAUGGAGAUAUAGGAACUCCACUGAUUAGCAUACCAACUAUGUAUAAAGUAUAAAUUAAGUAUACCCAUAACGUACCAGUAUUUGAUAAGGUACUGUACCACGUACUACGUACCCAUACCACAGAGAACUGCAUAUUAGGUGACUAUGGUUUGGCUAUUGUUGCGCUGGUUGUCAAUCAUAUCCAUUUCAUAGAAGAAUGAUAAUAGUGUUCCUGCAUAGUCCAUUCAGGAAUUUAUUUACUUGUGUACAUAAAUUAAGCUAAUUAUGAAUCAGAUAAAUCAUUUUCUUAGCUCCAUGUAAAACAAUACAUUCAUAUCGAUUUUCGGUUUCAGGUAAAAUCAGUACUUAAACAAUAUCGGUGGGCUCCUUUUGUUCCGGUUGCAA
rnacentral:lncRNA from 1 species